rnacentral:lncRNA from 1 species
UGAAUGUUCAUGAAUAUUCAUGAAUGUUGUUGGUGAUGUUCAUCUUUUUUGUGAUUUUUGGUGUUUGAUUCGUAUUUGGAAAGAGAGAGAAAAGGGAAAAGUGUUUUCUAUGUGAUGGGGACCAAUCUGACCCGUUUUCUGACUCUGAUGCGGCUACAGUGAUUUUCGGACCAUUUCCCAAUGAUUGGACAGUGUAUUUAUAGUGAC